UCGUUUGCGAAUACCUUCACACGUACUUAUUAUCAAAGGUUCUAAAGAAUUAUUUUUUAAUUGAGUAACUACGGAUUAAUUUGAGUUUUAAAC
rnacentral:misc_RNA from 1 species